AGCAUAUCAAUAAGCGGAGGAAAAGAAACCAACAGGGAUUGCCUCAGUAACGGCGAGUGAAGCGGCAACAGCUCAAAUUUGAAAUCUGGCGCCUUCGGCGUCCGAGUUGUAAUUUGUAGAGGAUGUUUCGGCGAGGGCUCCCGUCUAAGUCCCUUGGAACAGGGCGUCACAGAGGGUGAGAAUCCCGUAUGUGAUGGGUUGCUCGAGCCAUGUGAAGCUCCUUCGACGAGUCGAGUUGUUUGGGAAUGCAGCUCUAAAUGGGAGGUAAAUUUCUUCUAAAGCUAAAUACCGGCCAGAGACCGAUAGCGCACAAGUAGAGUGAUCGAAAGAUGAAAAGCACUUUGGAAAGAGAGUUAAAAAGUACGUGAAAUUGUUGAAAGGGAAGCGCUUGCAACCAGACUCGCGCGCAGUUGCUCAGCCGGUCUCCUGACCGGUGUACUCUUCUGCGUCCGGGCCAGCAUCAGUUCGGGCGGUCGGAUAAAGGCCUCGGGAAUGUGGCUCCCCUCGGGGAGUGUUAUAGCCCGGGGUGCAAUGCGGCCAGCCUGGACUGAGGAACUCGCUUCGGCUAGGAUGCUGGCGUAAUGGUUGUAAGCGGCCCGUCUUGAAACACGGACCAAGGAGUCUAACAUCUAUGCGAGUGUUUGGGUGUCAAACCCAUGCGCGUAAUGAAAGUGAACGGAGGUGGGAACCCUCACGGGUGCACCAUCGACCGAUCCUGAUGUCUUCGGAUGGAUUUGAGUAAGAGCAUAGCUGUUGGGACCCGAAAGAUGGUGAACUAUGCCUGAAUAGGGUGAAGCCAGAGGAAACUCUGGUGGAGGCUCGCAGCGGUUCUGACGUGCAAAUCGAUCGUCAAAUUUGGGUAUAGGGGCGAAAGACUAAUCGAACCAUC
rnacentral:rRNA from 1 species